UUGGUAUCUGGUCCUCUUCUCUAAGAUAAGAUUCCAGACAAAACUUGACUGAAUGCUGAGGCUGACGUUUACAUUGAUUGUAGUCUUCCCCUCCUUGCAGCCAGGGCAGGUGUUAUCUGAAAAUUAUUUAAAGAACAACAAGCUUCAGCCCAGGAUUUCAGUGCUGAUCAUCAGCAAAUUAACAUCUGAUCCAACCAUGAAUUCAGUACUGGCGGUAGUACUCGUGAGGUUAUUAAGAAGAUUAUGGGGAAAAGAUAAAGACUGGGGCAAUGCCUUUUGAAACCUACGGGCGCUAACUGGUUUGAAACAUCCAACAUACUCACUCACUAAGUCUGUGUUGUAAAUUGCAUCAUGGGAGAGAGCUGGCUGAUUAGCCAACUACCAUCACGUCACACAGGACUGGGACAAUGCUGGCAAGCAAAUUCAGUUAAGAGUGUAUGCACAAAGGUCUUCCACAGAAGUUUUUUUGAACCUGAGUUCAAAUGGCUUGAUUACUUUUGUUGUUGUUGUUCUUGUCUUGUGUUUUUGUUGUUGUUGCUGUUGUUUUCUCAGAAAUACUGUCUCCUCCUCCUAUAGACUAGUUUCCUUAAAUAUGUGGACCAAGCUCAGAUUGGUUUCAGUUUGGAAAAUUUCUUUUCAGAAAGAGUGGGAAGGCAUCGGAACAGCUGCUUAGGGAGCCCAGCUGAGAGAUCCAGUGUCAAAGUUUUUGGAAAUCUUGGUCACAAGAUGGGUGGAAGUGUUGGUCAUCAGAUUCUGGAAGCUUGUGAUGAGGGAGGCAAGUGAAAAUUACAGCUUCCAGUAUGCAAUUGCCAAAUGCUCAGUCAGAAAGCAGCUGCCAAUGUUUCUACAAGUACUUAAAACCAAAGAAGCUGUAUUUGGUGAAUACCAAAUGGGUAUUCUAAGGGUGUUCCUUGGGUGAUGGUAGGCUUUUAUGAAUUCCAUCUUAGAAAACUGGAAGAUUAAAUAUUGAGUUUUCCUCUUUGUUUAGGCUCUCUUUCCUCUGUGUUAUAUCUUGUUGAUAACAGAUGUCAAACCAAAGAACUCUUGAUUGAAUUUCCUCAAUACAAAAUGGUGUGGCUUCACACUGUAGUUGUCUUUAAAGGUUUGCCUGUGAGAGAUACAUUUCACACAGGUUUGUUAAUGUGUUUUCUUGUGCAAGAACAAAUUUGAAAUCUUGAUGCUGUUCAUUGCUCUGAGUUAGAGUCAACCAUUUCUUCUAGUCAUGCUAGCGUUCUGCAAUGAGAAGAUAUGAAGAACAGGGAAAGGAGAAGGGAAUUUGUGGAAGGACAUGCGUGAGUCCUAAAACUGAUUGCAUAAAAAGUCUGCUAUUGAGUUUAGCUGGUUAAAAACACUGUGUACAGACAAUAAUUUGGGAUUACUUGGCUUUGGAGCUGCGAUAGUUCCGUGAUAGUUCCUCUGCUCAGCGCAGAGAAACUGUGAGGGAAAGAGUGAAAAUUAAUGUUUUGCCAUAGAAUGAUAACUGGAUCCUAGAAUCAAUUGAGUUGGAAGCGAUCUUUAAAGCUCAUCUAGUCCAACUCCCCUGCAAUGAACAUGGACACCUACAGAUAGAUCAGGUUGCACAUACCUGACCUUGAACGUCCCCAUGGAUGAGGUAUCUACCACCUCUCUGGGCAACCUGUUGUAGUGCUUCACUAUCAUACUUUUCCUUAUAUCGAGACUAAGUAUCCCUACUUUUAAUUUGAAACAAUUUCCCUUUUUCCUAUCACAACAGACCCCACUGAAGAGUCUAUCCCCCCCCUUUUUUUAUAGCUCCCCUUUAGGUACUAAAUGAUCCCAUCACACGUGAUCAUCUUCAACAGUACAGACAGGAAAAGGUUCAGAGAAAGCCGAUAGAAAUAUUAUGGUUGGACUUGAUAUCUCCAAGGUCUUUCCAAGCCUAAAUGAUUCUGUGAUAUUUGUUAGUUAUGUUUCAGGGCUGUCAUUACAUUUUUGGUUGCAAUACAGUGAUUUAGGAAGUACUGAUAAAGGCUAGCUUUGGAGCAGUGAGGUUAGUGUUUUUGGCUGUUGGAAAAUGUGAGAGCUGCAAAACUUGACCACUACUUGCUGUUAGCAGUGCAUCCCCAAGUUAGCCUGAGUCUCAGUUCAACCCGAACACAUGCUUAGUUUCAACACUGCCAUCCAGUUCCCCUUAAGUCAAUAAAGCAUAAGCAUGCACUCAUGUUUAUGCAGAAACUUAAUGAAGCAUGCAGCACUGCUACGUAGAGACUACUGAGUGGAGGUCUACCGUGUGAGAAGGAAAAUGGAGAGAUCCAGAUAUACUGCAGAAAGGAUCUUAACUGUAUGACAGGAGAAAAAUGUAACUGAUGUAAUUAUUUUCUUGUACUUGGCUCUGAUAUAAAUUUAUUCAGUUUCUGGUAUAAGGAAUAUGACAACUGUUUUAGAAAUAUGUUUUACAUUACAGGAUGCAUUUUCAUUUGGUCAAAAAACUGGCCAUAAAUCAGGUUGAAACAUAUCUCCAGUACUGAAAGCCUCGGCAAGGGUUUACAACUAAUGUUAAUGCAGAGUCUUCAAGAGGAUAGAAGAAUGGUGAAUCUGUAUCACUAAAUUAAUGGGAUUGCUGCUUUAAUGGUACAGUUUAAGAAAAGAAAAUCCUUAAAUAUUUGAAAAUGAAAAAUUGAUUUAUUAUUUUUAUUUUAUUUUAUUUUAUUUUAUUUUUUCCUUGUGAGGCUCUGAAAAUUCUGGCUUUCCAAUCCAUUCUUUUAGCUAUUAUUAUGUGAUGAGAAUUUUUUAUUAAAUUCUAAGCUUCCAUAUCACCUAAGAUUUGUACUAACACUAUCUCCAAUCCAGAUAAAGCUUUCUGGAUUCUAAAUCUACUUGGAAAACUCUGAUAGAGCUCAACAAAAAAGGUAAGAUAUGGUGGCUUGAGAGCAGGAAAUAGCAGCAAACAGCAAUACAUGUAAGAGAACCAUUUUCUUUCUUUCCUGUUUACUCCAGCUGAAGAACUGGCUACAGCCAAACAGAAAAAUGGAGCAUUAGGACUUAAAUGAGUAUAUUAUCUUAAGCGAUCACUGUGAGCACCUCAGUCAAAUUUACAGUGGAAACUUAACCUGACAUGUGCUACCUACCAAAAG
ensembl:lncRNA